CCCUUAGAUGUUCUGGGCUGCACGCGUGCUACACUGAUAUUGCCAAUAUGUCAUUCUUAUCCGAAAUGGAUUGGGUAAUCAAGUAAUGAAAUUUCAUGCUUGGAAUCGGUAAUUGCAAUUUUAUCGUGAACGAGGAAUUCCUAGUAAGCACUAGUCAUCAGCUAAUGUUGAUUAUGUCCCUGCCCUUUGUACACACCGCCCGUCGCUACUACUGAUUGGAUGUUAAAGCGAGAUCUUCGGACCCUGGGUUCAUGGUCCUCCGGGACCUAGAGCUAUGGGGGAAGUAGAUCAAGCUUUGGUGUCUAGAGGAAGUAAAAGUCGUAACA
rnacentral:rRNA from 1 species